rnacentral:lncRNA from 1 species
UCUAACGAACUCUACUUAAUUGAAUAAGGCUUAUUGAAGAAUUUAUUGCUAACACCUCAAAGCCAAACCUAACAAGAAGGUGCUUGAUUGUGAAAAACAUGUUGAAAUAUAUGAUAUUAAGGAGCCCACAUAUUAUCUGGAAAAACCUAUAAAGAAACUGAAAUAUAUACAAGAAAAAAAUAUUAAAGAAAAUCACCAGGACUUUUAUAACUUUC